ACGAACGCUGGCGGCGUGCUUAACACAUGCAAGUCGAACGGAAAGGCCCUGCUUUUGUGGGGUGCUCGAGUGGCGAACGGGUGAGUAACACGUGAGUAACCUGCCCUUGACUUUGGGAUAACUUCAGGAAACUGGGGCUAAUACCGGAUAGGAGCUCCUGCUGCAUGGUGGGGGUUGGAAAGUUUCGGCGGUUGGGGAUGGACUCGCGGCUUAUCAGCUUGUUGGUGGGGUAGUGGCUUACCAAGGCUUUGACGGGUAGCCGGCCUGAGAGGGUGACCGGCCACAUUGGGACUGAGAUACGGCCCAGACUCCUACGGGGGGCAGCAGUGGGGAAUAUUGCACAAUGGGCGGAAGCCUGAUGCAGCGACGCCGCGUGCGGGAUGACGGCCUUCGGGUUGUAAACCGCUUUCGCCUGUGACGAAGCGUGAGUGACGGUAAUGGGUAAAGAAGCACCGGCUAACUACGUG
rnacentral:rRNA from 1 species